GUAUACUUCUUUAGCUCUCUCUCUCUCUCUCUCUCUCUCUCUCUCUCUCUCUCUCACAGCUUAGUUUUCUCUAUGGAGAAAAGCAGAUUCUCUUGAUGAAGAGGAGAGAGAGAGAGAGAGAGAGAGAGAGAGAGAGAGAGAGAGAGAGAGAGAGAGAGAGAGAGAGAGUUACAAAGUUGUU
rnacentral:miRNA from 1 species